UACAGGGGGUGCAAACGUUGCUCGGAAUUAUUGGGCGUAGAGCGCGCGUAGGCGGCUAUUUAAGUCGGAUGUGAAAGCCCCUGGCUCAACUGGGGAAGUGCACCCGAAACUGAAUGGCUUGAGUGCAAAAGAGGGCCGCGGAAUUCCCGGUGUAGAGGUGAAAUUCGUAGAUAUCGGGAGGAACACCGGUGGCGAAGGCGGCGGCCUGGGUUGACACUGACGCUGAGGCGCGAAAGCUAGGGGAGCGAACAGG
rnacentral:rRNA from 1 species